CUCGUAGGCGGUCCAUCACGUCGGGAGUGAAAAGCUGGGGCUUAACCCCAGUCCUGCUUCCGAUACGGGUGGACUAGAGGUAGGUAGGGGAGAUCGGAAUUCCUAGUGUAGCGGUGAAAUGCGCAGAUAUUAGGAGGAACACCGGUGGCGAAGGCGGAUCUCUGGGCCUUACCUGACGCUGAGGAGCGAAAGCAUGGGGAGCAAACA
rnacentral:rRNA from 1 species